AUGAAGGUGUCCAUCCCCACCAUAUCAGGUGCUGCUACUUCUGAGACCUCAGCCCGGGCUGACGACCAUGAGAUGGAGGACGCAGCAACCUCAAAACCUGCUCCAUCCAAUGUUAUUAUCACUCUCCCUGAUGAUGAUGAAGAUGAGGAACCGCUGAAGCACAGAAUGAGAAGGAAAGCGUCUGCCAGCAGGGUGCCCCAGGAUGUGACGGUGCCUGAGACUCUAGUCGCGGAGGAGGAAAACGCCACUCGACACACUGUGUCCUUCGCAGAUCCGCUGACGAGUGCUCCGCAGCCCUCCCUCUUCACGACGCACCACGUCCCAGAGGACCAAGCUGGCGCAGCGAAGGAGGCGAUACGCCAGGCAGGGAUCAUGAUGGAGCAGUUGAAGACCAUCCGGGAUGCGAGCCAGGCAGCUUACGACGCCAGUUCCGCCCUCCAAAGCAAUGUUCAAAACUCCUGUGACCUUGAGGCUCGCUACACUGAACUGGAAAACAAGCACAUUCAGCUCGAGCUGAAUUUGAAGCUGGUUCAGGAGAAUCUGACGAAGGCGAAGGAGGAGACCGAAGGUAAGGUGAGGGAGGCCCAAAGGAAAAAAAUACCUUGA
rnacentral:rRNA from 1 species